rnacentral:rRNA from 1 species
GAUGAACGCUGGCGGCGUGCCUAAUACAUGCAAGUCGAGCGAAUGGAUUAAGAGCUUGCUCUUAUGAAGUUAGCGGCGGACGGGUGAGUAACACGUGGGUAACCUGCCCAUAAGACUGGGAUAACUCCGGGAAACCGGGGCUAAUACCGGAUAACAUUUUGAACCGCAUGGUUCGAAAUUGAAAGGCGGCUUCGGCUGUCACUUAUGGAUGGACCCGCGUCGCAUUAGCUAGUUGGUGAGGUAACGGCUCACCAAGGCAACGAUGCGGAGCCGACCUGAGAGGGUGAUCGGCCACACAUGGACUGAGACACGGGCAAGACUCCUACGGGAGGCAGCAGUAGGGACUCGUCCGCAAUGGACGAUAGUCUGACGGAGCAACGCCGCGUGAGUGAUGAAGGCUUUCGGGUCGUAACACUCUGUUGUUAGGGAAGAACAAGUGCUAGUUGAAUAAGCUGGCACCUUGACGGUACCUAACCAGAAAGCCACGGCUAACUACGUGCCAGCCGCCGCAGUAA